rfam:Sphingopyxis sp. LC81 contig15, whole genome shotgun sequence.
CCGGGGCGAAGCAACCUCCCGGACAAGCGCAGCGUGCGCUCAAGCGUUGC